AGAAUCAACGCUGGCGGCGUGCCUAACACAUGCAAGUCGAACGAGAAAGUGGAGCAAUCCAUGAGUAAAGUGGCGCACGGGUGAGUAACACGUGACUAACCUACCCUUGAGUGGGGGAUAACCUAGAGAAAUCUGGGCCAAUACCGCAUAAUACCUUCGGGUCAAAGGAGCAAUUCGCUUAAGGAGGGGGUCGCGGCCGAUUAGUUAGUUGGCGGGGUAAUGGCCCACCAAGACUGUGAUCGGUAUCCGGCCUGAGAGGGCGCACGGACACACUGGAACUGAAACACGGUCCAGACUCCUACGGGAGGCAGCAGUGGGGAAUUUUGCGCAAUGGGGGAAACCCUGACGCAGCAACGCCGCGUGGAGGAUGAAGCCCCUUGGGGCGUAAACUCCUUUCGAUCGGGAAGAUAAUGACGGUACCGAGAGAAGAAGCCCCGGCUAACUUCGUGCCAGCAGCCGC
rnacentral:rRNA from 1 species